rnacentral:misc_RNA from 1 species
GAUGAAGAACGCAGCGAAAUGGGAUAAUUAAUGUGAAUUGCAGAAUUCAGUGAAUCAUCGAGUCUUUGAACGCACAUUGCGCCUUAUGGCUAUUCUGUAAGGCAUGCCUGUCUGAGCGUCAGCAAAAACCUCAAGGUAGUAUGAUGGCUUUUUUUUUACAUAAAAAGCCUCUUAUCUUGGAUCUUGUCAAGAGAGUGAACUCUUUUGUAGAGUUUACUUCUUGGAAAAUGAUAGAUGGUCAGAAGUAUUGCUUUUAACCAAAUGUGAUAAGAAUUAUUCAUUUGAAAGUUUAUUGAAUACUUUUUGAUCAAAUCUUGAGAAAAAAAAGAAAAAAAAGCUUUAUGGCUUUUUUUGAUUUACUUGACCUCAGAUCAGGCAGGGAUACCCGCUGAACUUAAGCAUAUCAAUAAGCGGAGGA